CCUACGGGUGGCAGCAGUGAGGAAUAUUGGUCAAUGGACGAGAGUCUGAACCAGCCAAGUAGCGUGAAGGAUGACUGCUCUAUGGGUUGUAAACUUCUUUUAUAUGGGAAUAAAACGUUCCACGUGUGGGAUUUUGUAUGUACCAUAUGAAUAAGGAUCGGCUAACUCCGUGCCAGCAGCCGCGGUAAUACGGAGGAUCCGAGCGUUAUCCGGAUUUAUUGGGUUUAAAGGGAGCGUAGGUGGAUUGUUAAGUCAGUUGUGAAAGUUUGCGGCUCAACAGUAAAAUUGCAGUUGAAACUGGCAGUCUUGAGUACAGUAGAGGUGGGCGGAAUUCGUGGUGUAGCGGUGAAAUGCUUAGAUAUCACGAAGAACUCCGAUUGCGAAGGCAGUUCACUGGACUGCAACUGACACUGAGGCUCGAAAGUGUGGGUAUCAAACAGGAUUAGAUACCCCAGUAGUC
rnacentral:rRNA from 1 species